rnacentral:lncRNA from 1 species
UCCCAAAGGCUUCUCGGCAUGGGAUGUAACGUGACCUCCCAAUCCAGAGCUACGAGACGCUAGACCGAGUCCCCUUGCAGCUACGGCUGCUCUUCACCGGGCUUCGGUCAAUGCGCUUGAUCCGACAGUUCCAUAAGACCUGCAGCAAGCUGCAUUGCCGUCCCGUUUCGUAGCGAACCUAUUAGUACAUGCAACACUAUAAAAA